rnacentral:rRNA from 120 species
GAGGAAUAUUGGUCAAUGGGCGAGAGCCUGAACCAGCCAAGUAGCGUGAAGGAUGAAGGCUCUAUGGGUCGUAAACUUCUUUUAUAUGGGAAUAAAGUUUUCCACGUGUGGAAUUUUGUAUGUACCAUAUGAAUAAGGAUCGGCUAACUCCGUGCCAGCAGCCGCGGUAAUACGGAGGAUCCGAGCGUUAUCCGGAUUUAUUGGGUUUAAAGGGAGCGUAGGUGGAUUGUUAAGUCAGUUGUGAAAGUUUGCGGCUCAACCGUAAAAUUGCAGUUGAAACUGGCAGUCUUGAGUACAGUAGAGGUGGGCGGAAUUCGUGGUGUAGCGGUGAAAUGCUUAGAUAUCACGAAGAACUCCGAUUGCGAAGGCAGCUCACUAGACUGUCACUGACACUGAUGCUCGAAAGUGUGGGUAUCAAACA